CCCACCCUCCUCUCCCUCGACUUCCUUCGCUCAGCCAACAAUAUCACGAUGUCGCUGAAUAUCCUUUCUCCAAGAUCGUGGGCGUGUUUCGCAUCGUGGACGGCGACUCCUGCAGGUGUGUUCCUCGGUCCCGCCCUUGUCCUGUCGAGAUCAUGGAGGAUUCGGUCUACAAGGAGAGGGGAUUCCCUUGCCCUUUCCUGACGAGGUACUGCUGUCAGCGGGAGAC